UCACUAAUAAGAGCUGCGGCUUUCCCACA
rnacentral:sRNA from 1 species